GGGUGGCCGUGCGAAGCAGCUCCGUCGGGCGGUCCCGGGUCACUCAGCGGCCGAGGAGGCGCCCGCCCUUUCCCCCUGCAGGGCCACGGAGACUGAAGGUGGAAUCACAGCUGUCAACGCCGGAGCGUCCGCUGCCCACCAGCCGAACACAGGCGACCAAAGCCGAAUCCGAACUUGAAUUCUGUGCGACUGAUUGCAGAGCUGUCUCGACGCCCUAAGGUCCCGGAUCGGCGACCCCCGGUGGACAGCGAUCGACCGUACCCCAGAGGCGAGCUUUCUCACGGAGGCCACCGGUUGCAGAAGCUGGAAGUGAA